GGUUUCGCACGCACCGAUUCGCCCGGUCCGCGUCGCCCCCCACACUCCCCCCGCCCCCACCCCCACCCACCCCACUACCCCCACUACCAGCUCCGCCGCCGCCGAGCCCAGCACCCGCUCCGAUUUCUGUUCCUGGCGGCGCACCACCCAAUCCCGGCGCCUAGUCGCCGGCUCGCCGCUCCCUCCCGCAGACGCGCCCCACCACCGAUGCUGGUUUCUGUUUUGCAGCUCGGGAUUUGAUCGGUUCCGUUCCCGACUCCGUAGCUCCCAUCGGCGCUCCGCGACGUCGCUCGGUCCUCCCGUCGCCGUCGCCCCCAGGAGAGUACCUGCCGACGGCACCCAGAUCCUGCGACCCUAUCCUUCUUGGGCCUGCCUUUCCUUAGCACGCCCUCCAUCUCCGGUUGCUCGCAUCCACCCGAACACCGACCGGCGAUUCAAGUUCAUCCGCUGCCGAUUCGUGCCGGUCCGCGCUGAUUCGUCAUCCUCCACACGAGGUCCUGCCCCGCUCAAGCUACCCCCGACGCCUGCUCAAUAUUGGAUAAAUCGCUGGUGAUUCCCCUACCGGCGCAAGGCCACGCUGUGUGGAUCGAGGACGCGAACGACAGCGGCCAUUUUCGGCCUGGAAGCAUGCUCACCCUCACCUGAGCUGUCGAAUCAUUGGGGAUGUCCUCUCCAGAUGCAUAAGGUAUCAGAUCGAGUUGGAUUUCAGCACCAAGAAUUGCACCUGCUGCAUUCAAAGCGAAGGCAUCACAGUUUGGCUAGUGCUGGAUCUAGAUCUCAGUUUUGGCCUCGGUGAAAUGCAAGGUAGCGAGGAUGCCGGCUAUGGGAAUCCCGGCAUGCUCCACACUCACGGACAGAGCUGCACCGUACAGACGCAGAUUCGUCUGCAAUUGAGAUCGAGUACACAUGCUGGAUGGAGGAUUUGAGCUAGCAGCACAUUGAGCCAGAUCUCAUUUGGUCUUGGAGCUCAAUGUAUCUGCACAUCUAUUUGGAUGCAUUGAUACUUGAAUCGGGACUGCACCUAGUUUAGGGUAAAUCUCAUGUGCCAGAUGCUUUUGACAAUACCAACUGUGAGCAUUGAAUUGUGAUCUCGAUGUAACCAAGCCUUCUGCAUGCAUUGAACUGUGAGUACUGCCUCUAAUUAAAUCCACCUAUGAAUGGAAAUACUGCUGCAUACGCAUAUCCUUGUGGGAAUUAUUUUUUUAAUUGAAUACUACUUCAACUCAUGCAGUAAACGGUGGAGUACAUUGUUGAUCCCAUUUGCUUUGCUAACUGAACUAGCCUUUGGUUAGUUUUCUGAAAUCUUCCUGUCAGUUUAGAAAAUAAUAUUGGUUUACCGUAUAGGUAAUUCAGUACCUAAUGCGAGUAGAUAUAUUUCCAAGAGCAAUUUUCUUUUGAUUUUUGUUUACACAACUGAUUCAUACCAGAUUGUAGGUUAAAGUGCAUUGGAAGUUCUGACAAUUUCCCUGUAUAUAUGUUCUUGCAGUAUAGCUGUAGACUUUAGCUAUGGAGUAGUGUUUAUGGCAAUGCUUUUCGCAAACAAAGUAUUUCUUAUGCAGGACAUUCACUCCAUGAUCCUGCUCACUGCACAGAUGUGCAGAGCAAGGAGAAGAAUAUUGGAAGGCCAUCAGGGAGGUUGCCAAGUGAAACGACAUGGGAUAUGCAAAGGUUGUUGACUGGAGAGGGAUCGCAGGCCUGCCAGAUAGUUGCAGAUAGCUAGGCAUCUCUAUCUAAAUUGUGUGCACUAGCAUAGCAGUAGUAGUAGCAGUAGCAACGGAUAACCGUCAGCUCAUCAAUCAUGCCUGUGUUUGCUUGCCUGUGAUGGUUCAUGUCUUUCUGAGACAUCCAUUUGCCUGCCUGUGAUGUAAUCCUUUCUAAGCCUUGUGGUGUGAUGAUAUGUUCCGAAGAAAUCAUGCUUGUGCCAAGGCCGGUGUACUCAUGUUGUUCCUUUUCUUCACUUGUAUGGCAAUCAUUGGGUUGAUUCUAGAUUUAAGAUAUGCAAUUCUUUGCAGAUAAUGAUAUUUACAAUGUGAUAAUGGCAUUUGCAAA